rnacentral:rRNA from 1 species
UACGGAGGGAGCUAGCGUUGUUCGGAAUUACUGGGCGUAAAGCGCACGUAGGCGGCUUUGUAAGUUAGAGGUGAAAGCCCGGGGCUCAACUCCGGAACUGCCUUUAAGACUGCAUCGCUUGAAUCCAGGAGAGGUGAGUGGAAUUCCGAGUGUAGAGGUGAAAUUCGUAGAUAUUCGGAAGAACACCAGUGGCGAAGGCGGCUCACUGGACUGGUAUUGACGCUGAGGUGCGAAAGCGUGGGGAGCAACA